rnacentral:rRNA from 1 species
AUGGCCAAGUUUUGGUGGAGUAGCUCCAUUGACAAACGAUCUUUACACUGGUUGUCGUGGGAGAAGUUGUCUGCUCCGAAGAUGGAAGGCGGCAUAGGGUUUCGGGACAUCGAACAAUUCAAUCUCUCCUUGCUGUGGAAACAAGGCUGGAGGUUGAUUACACAUCCUGAUUCCUUAUGCUCAAGAGUGUUGAAAGGGAAGUACUUCCCCAACUCUGAAUUUUUGGAAGCUCACGCCCCUAAGUCUGCAUCGGCCACAUGGAAAGCUAUUAUUGCAGGA